rnacentral:rRNA from 1 species
CCUACGGGAGGCAGCAGUCGGGAAUCUUGGGCAAUGGGCGAAAGCCUGACCCAGCAACACCGUGUGGGUGAUGAAGGCCUUCGGGUCGUAAAGCCCUGUUGAUAGGGACGAAGGGCGAAGGGUUAAUAGCCCCUAGCUUGACGGUACCUUUCGAGGAAGCCCCGGCUAACUACGUGCCAGCAGCCGCGGUAAUACGUAGGGGGCGAGCGUUGUCCGGAAUUAUUGGGCGUAAAGAGCGUGUAGGCGGUUCGGUAAGUCUGUCGUGAAAUCCUGGGGCUCAACCUCGGGCGUGCGAUGGAUACUGCCGGGCUAGAGGGUGGUAGAGGCGAGUGGAAUUCCCGGUGUAGCGGUGAAAUGCGCAGAUAUCGGGAGGAACACCAGUAGCGAAGGCGGCUCGCUGGGCCACACCUGACGCUGAGACGCGAAAGCUAGGGGAGCGAACAGGAUUAGAUACCCUGGUAGUCCUAGCCGUAAACGAUGGACACUAGGUGUGGGGGGAGUCGAAUCCCUCUGUGCCGCAGCUAACGCGUUAAGUGUCCCGCCUGGGGAGUACGGCCGCAAGGCUAAAACUCAAAAGAAUUGACGGGGGCCCGCACAAGCAGCGGAGCAUGUUCUUUAAUUCGAUGCAACGCGAAGAACCUUACCUGGACUUGACAUGGUGCUGCAAGCGCACGGAAACGUGUGACCUUCGAGGGUGCACCACAGAUGCUGCAUGGCUGUCGUCAGCUCGUGUCGUGAGAUGUUGGGUUAAGUCCCGCAACGAGCGCAACCCCCGUGGCGUGUUGCCAGCAUUUAGUUGGGGACUCACGCCAGACUGCCGGUGACAACCGGAGGAGGGGGGGGAUGAUGUCAAGUCAUCAUGGCUCUUACGCCCAGGCUAGAAACGUGCUACAUGGCGCAUACAAAGGGCAGCAGACCGCAGGUGGAGCGAUCUCAUCAAUGCGUCUAGUUCGGAUCGG